rnacentral:rRNA from 1 species
AUCGAACGCUGGCGGCAGGCUUAACACAUGCAAGUCGAGCGGGCAUCUUCGGAUGUCAGCGGCAGACGGGUGAGUAACACGUGGGAACGUACCCUUCUGUUCGGAACAACUCUGGGAAACUGGAGCUAAUACCGGAUACGCCCUUAUGGGGAAAGGUUUACUGCCGAAGGAUCGGCCCGCGUCUGAUUAGCUAGUUGGUGGGGUAACGGCAUACCAAGGCGACGAUCAGUAGCUGGUCUGAGAGGAAGAUCAGCCACACUGGGACUGAGACACGGCCCAGAAUCCUAGGGGAGGCAGCAGUGGGGAAUAUUGGACAAUGGGCGCAAGCCUGAUCCAGCCAUGCCGGGUGAGUGAUGAAGGCCGUAGGGUUGUAAAGCUCUUUUGUACGGGACGAUAAUGACGGUACCGGAAGAAUAAGCACCGGCUAACUUCGUG